UUGAGGGCCAGCUGUGGCCCUGGUUCCUGAAGGAGCAAGUCCUGCCCAGAACAUCGCCACGCUCAUGACAGAGGGAAAAGAGUGAUGUCGCAUGGCUCUCAGGACUUCUCGGGAGUCCCUCCUGUUACUUCACUCGCAUAUCAUUACCGAAGCAAGUCACAUGAACAAGCUGAUAUCCAUGGGGUGAAAAGAACCCCCACAGACACCAGUACAAAGAGCUGGUAGCAGAUGGACAGGGAACCUACCCUGACCUCCCCGGCUCAUGAGAGCUGCCACCCACAGCUGACCAGACUAUGGCUUUUGUGACCGGAGGUAUCGGAGCUGCAGCGUUAUGUGAGAAACUCCAAGCAAAGAGAUUUGAACUUGACUUGAAGUCUUUCUUUAAUAUUCAAUAAAAAGUUGGAGAUUUA